rnacentral:rRNA from 1 species
AGCGAACGCUGGCGGCAGGCUUAACACAUGCAAGUCGAGCGGGCACCUUCGGGUGUCAGCGGCAGACGGGUGAGUAACACGUGGGAACGUACCCUUCGGUUCGGAAUCACGCUGGGAAACUAGCGCUCAUACCGGAUACGCCCUUAUGGGGAAAGGUUUACUGCCGAAGGAUCGGCCCGCGUCUGAUUAGCUAGUUGGUGGGGUAACGGCCUACCAAGGCGACGAUCAGUAGCUGGUCUGAGAGGAUGAGCAGCCACACUGGGACUGAGACACGGCCCAGACUCCUACGGGAGGCAGCAGUGGGGAAUAUUGGACAAUGGGCGCAAGCCUGAUCCAGCCAGGCCGCGUGAGUGAUGAAGGCCUUAGGGUUGUAAAGCUCUUUUGUCCGGGACGAUAAUGACGGUACCGGAAGAAUAAGCCCCGGCUAACUUCGUG